GGAUGCGAUCAUACCAGCACUAAAGCACCGGAUCCCAUCAGAACUCCGAAGUCAAGCGUGCUUGGGCGAGAGUAGUACUAGGAUGGGUGACCCCCUGGGAAGUCCUCGUGUUGCAUUCC
rnacentral:rRNA from 1 species